rnacentral:rRNA from 1 species
UACGUAGGGUGCGAGCGUUAAUCGGAAUUACUGGGCGUAAAGCGUGCGCAGGCGGUUUUGUAAGUCAGAUGUGAAAUCCCCGGGCUUAACCUGGGAAUGGCAUUUGGGACUGCAAGGCUUGAGUGCGGCAGAGGAGACUGGAAUUCCUGGUGUAGCAGUGAAAUGCGUAGAUAUCAGGAGGGACACCGAUGGCGAAGGCAGGUCUCUGGGCUGACACUGACGCUCAUGCACGAAAGCGUGGGGAGCAAACAGG